rnacentral:rRNA from 1 species
CAGUAGCCGCGGUAAUACGAAGGGUGCAAGCGUUACUCGGAAUUACUGGGCGUAAAGCGUGCGUAGGUGGUGGUUUAAGUCCGUUGUGAAAGCCCUGGGCUCAACCUGGGAAUUGCAGUGGAUACUGGGUCACUAGAGUGUGGUAGAGGAUAGUGGAAUUUCCGGUGUAGCAGUGAAAUGCGUAGAGAUCGGAAGGAACAUCUGUGGCGAAGGCGACUAUCUGGGCCAACACUGACACUGAGGCACGAAAGCGUGGGGAGCAAACAGGAUUAGAUACCCGGGUAGUCCCUGUCUCUUAUAA